UAAUAGCGUACAUUAAGGUUAUUUCAUAUAAAAGCUCGUAUUUGAAUUUCUGGGAGAGUGCCAAUGUUCGUCAACAUACGUGUGCGGCGGCACCCUUCCAUCCUUCUGUUAUUUCCUGUUGGCAUUUACUUGCUGAUGGCGAGCUCAGAUAUUUUACCUUGAGAAAAUUAGAGUGUUUUAGGCAGGCUAGGCCGGAAUACAUUAGCAUGGAAUAAUAGAAUAGGACUAUGGACUGUUCGUUGGUUUAAGGGACUAUUGAAAUGAUUAAUAGGGAUAGUUGGGGUCAUAUUUAAUUGUCAGAGAUUUAAUUCUCAGAUUUGUUAAAGACUAAGUUAUGUCAAAGCAUUUGCUAAGGAUGCUUUAAUUAA
rnacentral:rRNA from 1 species